CUCUAAAGCAACUUCCGUGGUGCUAGGUUAGGGGCUGGGGGUGGUGCUGACCUUGAGAGGUGCGGGGGAAGGCGCAGGCGCAGCACAGGUCAAUGGAAUCUGACCGUGAGAAGUUUCUUCAUUAUUCAGACACCAGCUGGAGCCAGAAGGACAUCUACGAAGAACAGUAACCAGGAAGAGAAUUCUACCUGUUCAUUAUAUUCCGAUAUGGACGUUUUCUUUUUGGCUAUUAAAAAAAAAAAAAAAAAAAAAAAAGGAAACGAAAUUAUCAAGUGGAAAGAAAGGAAAUUACCCCCAGUCAACUCUUUAUGCCUUUUUAUUAUAACGAGAUAUAGUCCUGGAGGCAGGCUUGAAAUGGGUAUGCAGAGCACCAUCAACCCAGAAGUACAUGGGGAUCUUUACUUAAGUUGUGGCUAUCUGUAAUCUCAUCCAUUUCUUUUUGCUGUAGUGUCAAGUUUUGUCAUGAAGUUGGAACUGAGGCGGGAAGCUAAGAAGCUUCAGAAGAAGUUAGAAAUGGUUAUGGAUUUUCGGUUUCACCCUUCUUACCAGAGUAUCUAGAGGGAAUGAUAUGAAUGUCAUAAAUGGCCCAAAGACCUUGGGAAUUAGAGGUCUGAACCAUCCAAAAGAAGCAGGCAUGGAGCAGUUGCUUUCUGUUAGAAAGGGGGUUCAGAGACUGGUUGUGUGAGUUAUGUUGUCUUUUACUUUAAAUUUUGUGUGUGUUGAGGGGAUACAUAGCAUUAUAAGGAGGGAAGAUACAGAAAUCCUAAAUACUGACAGAAACAGCUGGAAGCAGGAGGGGGCUGAGGAAUAGUUUGUGAAACAAAUUCUGCUGAGGAUCAAUCCGGAACUUCCCUGAGGGUUCAGCUUCUGCUGUGUAGGGACUAGGUUGUAAAUAGACAAGCCCCAGGGCAUCUACAGAUGGUUAAGUGUGUUAGAGAGGGGUUGUAGUUGUCUGCUAGUGGAUCUGUGGGAAGCAGGUGCUAUCCUUGAGGAAGAAAAGGUGGAGAAGGAAAGUGGCUAUCAGCCUGUCAGUGACAACAUAUCCUGUGAAGUCUUACUCUUUCAUUUCUGACAGUGUGGUUCUUCUUAUAUCUGUCCUCAACCUGGCAGCCUCAUUGAGGUUCACAAAGCAUCUCCUUCUAUGUGACAGUAAUGUUGAAAUUAUUAUCAGGAUAGAUUCUCUUCUUGCCAGAGUAAAACCAAGAAAAUAAAUCACUUUUUGUUAUCUGCUUAUCAUUUUUUAUAUGCCAUGGGGUUCUAUAUUCGUUAUUAAGUAUAAAGCACAUUGAUAAAUACUCCUUGGUUAAUAUCCUUUAAUAUUCAUGUUUCACAGUUAUCUUUAUUACAUCAUGAUAAAUCUUAUACAAGUAGUAUUUUAAUGAUUUAAAUGCAUAUAUUUUAAUGCAGUGUCACCCAAUCCCUUUUUUAUCCUAUAGAAAAACAGUAUUUUCUAUUCUUUACCUGUCUUAAAGGAAUUUUCCUGUUUCCAUUUCUUAAAAUAGAAGUAUUUGACAAAGAUUCAAAGAAAGGAAAGAGUUAUGAAAGGGGGAAAAAGGUGUGAAUGAUGAAGAUUAAAAAGAAACUCAGUAGUUUUGACAAGGGGGUUGGGAGAAUAAUCAUUGAGAAACGUCUUGGUUGCUUACUAUUAGGACUUAAUUUAAAAAGUUGAAAUGUCCUGACAGAAAUUUUCCCAAAUAUUUAGAAGUGCCAACAGGAAGUUACCUCCUCUCUUAAUACUCACAUUGACCUGGAACUCUUACAACCUUCAAAACAUAUUACUUUUUUCAAAAUUCAGUCCUUAGUUUUUGCAAAAUGUACUGCUUAGUUUCUCCUCUAAGAAACCUUUCACUGUUCUUACUCUCAUUUAAUAAGUGUGAUUAUUACAUGCUUUCUUUUUUUUCUGUCAUUUAUAUUUUUUUUAAAGAGAGAGAGAAUUUUUUAAUAUUUAUUUUUUAGUUUUCGGCGGACACAACAUCUUUGUUUGUAUGUGGUGCUGAGGAUCGAACCUGGGCCACACGCAUGCCAGGAGAGUGUGCUACCGCUUGAGCCUCAUCCCCAGCCCUCCUGUCAUUUAUAUUAUUUUCCAAUAACCACCUAGAGAACUGGGAUCUUGUUUUUGUUCUGUUUUGCCAUUUUCCUCUAUAAGAAAUACCUUAAUGUUGUGGACAAAGAUCAUUUCAGUUAAAUUGCACUUAAAAUUCUUUGUGGACAAGAUGUUAGUUGUCAUAAUACUUUAAAUGAUAAAAAGUAGUUGCAGUCUUACUUAUAACAGUAAGAUUAGUCACAUUCUGUUAUAUAUGCUUAGUGGGAUAUUAUCUGUUUUUAAAAGCCAUUAGACUAGAGUUUCUAAUGGAAAAUGUUUAAAUUUCUAAGUUAAAAGAGCAUUUUAUGGACUAUAUGUUUCCCCCCAAAAUUCAUAUAUUGAAACCCUAAUCCACAAUGACACAACAUAAAUAGAUAGGAACUUUGGAAGGUGAUUUGUCGUGAGGGUGGAGCCCUUAUGAUACAAUUAAUGACUUUAUAAGAAGAGAUACAAGUGAUCAUGUUUUCCCUCUUCUCUCCAUCAUGUGAGGACAAAGUAAGUACACAGCUAUCUGCAGUUCAAGAAUAGGGCCCUGUCCAAAGCCCAUCCAUGCUGUCACUCUAAUCUCUAACUUCCUAGCAUCCAAACUAUUAGAAAUGUAUUCUAUUGUUUGAUCUACCCAGUUUAUGCAGAAUAGUGCUCAGGGUGGGUUUUUGUUUGUUUGUUUAAUUUUUUUUUUUUUUUUUUUUUUGUAAAUGGACAGAAUGCCUUUAUUUUAUUUGUUUAUGUGGUGCUGAGGAUCGAACCCAGCAUGCGAGGCAAGCACUCUGCUGCUGAGCUACAGCCCCAGCCCAGAUGGUUUUGUUUUGUUUUUUGUUUUAAUUUAGGUAAAGAAUAGAUCAGUUUGGCUUUUGUUUCUAAAAUUUUGCUUUUUAACAUUCACCUAUAUUGCUCUCAUCUUUCUAGUUUGGGGAAAAAUUUUUUUCAGAAGCAUAUUGCAACCUUUUAAUGAUUGAAUAGCCUCCCUGAAUCUCCUUUAUUUCCAUGACACUUACCACAGUUGUUUCUAUGACUGUACCACAUAUCUGAUCAAUUGGUUCCAUAAACUCUGAAAAUUUUACACAAGUGGUACGGUGCACAUUUUCAAAAACCAUUAACAUAUGAAAUGGGAUCUUGAUACCAUUUGAUACCUUUUCUUGUGAGGAAAAUCUAAAACAGUCACCAUCACCAAGGGCAGUAAACAGACAAAACCAUAUCUGUUGGAAACUGAAAUUACUUUUAUUCAUUCAUUAAAUAUUUAUCACCAGUCACUGUUCUGUACUCUGAGAAAACCAUGGUAAAUAAAGUAGACAUAGUCCCUAUCAGGUAAUUCACGUUUCAGUAGUAACCGACCAUACAUGAAUAAAUAAGGAAAAUGUAAGAUAGUAAGUACUAGAUGAGUAUUAUAACAAUAGUACUUCAUGACUAAAUAGAUGACUAUUUUAGAUUAUAUUAUUAAGAACAGCUUCUAAGAAGAUGCCGUUUAUGCUUCUGUUUCAAUGAUAAGAGAGCCCUGUUUUGCAGAAAUUGAGGAAUCAUUGUUUACAGAAAGGGUGACAAUGCAAAACAAAGGAAUGAUCUACCUUGGAAUAUUUCAGGAGUCAAAAGAAAGUCUGCAUAGUUGGAACAUAGCACCUAAGGGAAGAAUAAUGCUGACGGUAUUGGAAAGGCUAGAUCAUGUUAACAUUGAAAGCCAGGAAGGGGUUUGGGUUUUAUUCCAAGUGCAGUGGUCGGGUGAGUGGGGUGGAGGGGUGGUUUUUAAACUGAGGAAUAAUAUAAAAUAAUAAAUUUUUUAAUCUGUGGUAAUAUUUUUUAAUCGGAAUAUUCCAUCUGCUUACAUGUAAGAAUUACUAAUAUGUUUAUAUUUAAAUCAAUGAUAUUUACUUCUUUAUUUGUCCUACCUCUCCUGUGUUCAUUUUCUUUUUUUUUUUUUUUUUCCAGGGGGGUGGUUGUUUACUGGGGAUUGAACUCAGGAGCAUUCGACCACUGAGCCACAUCCCCAGCCCUAUUUUGUUUUUAUUUAGAGAUAGGGUCUCACUGAGUUGCUUAGUGCCUCACUUUUGCUGAGGCUGGCUUUGAACUUGGAGUUCUCCUGUCUCAGCCUCCCAAGAUGCUGGGAUUAUAGGCAUCCUGUGUUCAUUUUCUUUUUUACCUUCUUUUAAAUUGAUUAAUUAUUUUUAACUCUUUUGGCCUAUAAGCUUAACAAUUAUUUAUCUUUUAGUAUUCUUUUUAGUGUUGACCUGAGAUCACAACAUGAACUCUUAGUUGAUUAACUUCUAAGAUAAUUUAGUAUACCUCUUCCUAGAUAAUAUAAGGACCUUAGCACACAUCAACUUCACUUACCAUUUUAUAUAAAUUGUCUAUUCUUGAUGUGUAUUUCCUAAAUUCUUAUUAUUUUUAUACAAUUAAUGUGCACUUAUAUUUACACAAACUUUCUUUUGCUGUUCUGUAUAAUGAGUACCUGAAUCAGAGUUUGCAUCUGAGAUUAUAUUAUUUUUCCUCAAGAAAGUGCAUUAAUAUGAAUGUUUUAUGAAUGUUUGCGUAUUACAUGUUCACAUGUUCUCCCAGUUUUUGUAUUCUGAAACUUUAUUUUUUGUUUUAUUCUCAACCAAUAUUUUUACUGAAUUAGCAACUAUUUUAUGAUUUUAAAAGAUACAUUCUAUUGCUUCUGGCUUCCAUUCUUAGAAAUAACAUCAGUUUUAUGUUUACCCUUUAAAGGUAAUUUAUUUUUUCCUUGAUACACCAGCAUGGUGUUUUUGUUGAUUUUUUUUUUUCUUUUGAGGUUUAUAAUGCUGCUUGAAUCUGGUUCUGAUGUUCUUAGGUCUUUUUUGGAAAAUUGUCAUCUCAUCUCAUUGGAUACUGAUUUUGCUUCCACUCUUUUUUUCUCAUCUUCUGGUACUCCACUUACAUGAUUGCUGGGAGCCAUUAGCCAAGUAGGUAUGACAAUUUCCUUGCCAGCGUACCCCAUGUUGCAGUGACAUUGAAUGUAGGUGACCUUGCUCAAGGACCAAGGCGGAUUAGGGUGUUCCCGGUUUAAGAUAAUUGUGUUUAGGGCCCAGUUUAGGUUCCAGGUUUAAGGUUUAAGAUUAUUCCUGCUGGGAAUAGGGCGUAUCCUGCUGCCUGAGUUCCCCUUGAGUUCUCAUGGGAUUCAGAGUAUUUUUUGGAGAUAGAAGCCCAGUGGAGGUGGAUUUUGGGCAGAGAAGGUGGAUUUUGGGCAGAGAACGUGGAUUUCCCCAGAACGUGAUUGUAGACGGCUGGUGUGAGUUCGGGAAUAAAGAGUUGCUGUUUGAAUCUACAAGCUGUGUGGUGGCUCGUGAUUGUGUGCCCAGCCAGACUGCGGCACAUGAUGUGUUUGACCAUUUCGUUUUUGUCCCGUUUUCUUUAUAUUUGUCUCUUAUCUUUCAUUCUAGAUAAUUCUUAACCUUUCAUUAGGUUCACUGUUUUUAGUUCUUUCUAAUCUGUUGAAAACUACCUGUCAAAGCAUUUAUUUCAGUAUCUUUUUAGUUACUUAUUCAAGUAUUUCUGUUUGGUUCUGUUUUAUUGUUUCCAGUUAUCAACCCAAUAUCAAUCUCAUCUUUUAUUUUCUCAAAUUUAUAACUCAGUUCUUUUACAAAAGAAAACUAUGUCUAAUAACUAUGGGUCUGCUGUUAUCUGAAGCAUCUCUUGUUUGUUUAUUGUCCUUUAUCAUAUUGUCUUGUCUUUUUUACUUUUGUUAUUUUUAAUAUUUUAUUUAUAAAAGUUUGCUAUUUUCUCUUAUUUAUGUUACAUUACUUUUUAUUGAUUGUCAGCAUUAUUUGACACAUAAAGAGAUUAUACUUUGAGGUCAUUGUGAUAUUUUCUAAGAAAGAAUUUAUGACUUCCGACAGGAAUAUUAGACACGAGAAAUCCAAGAUCACCUUAAUCUAGUGAGUAAUUGAGAUGAUUAGAAUGUGGGUAGGUGUGCUUCAGAUUUAUAGUUUUUCCCAGGGAAGAGACCUAUAAGUAGACCUAUGAUGUCUAGGAUAUGCUUCAAAUAAGAGACGGGGAAAUGGAUGAUAGUAUAAAUGAAAUAAGAUUCAUCAUAAGUUGAUAAUUGUUGAAGCUGAGUAAUAGGCACUUGUUCUAUUCUGUAAAGUUCUUCUUAAUUUUUUUUGUUGUAGAUGGACAUAAUACCUUUAUUUUAUGUAUUUAUUUUUAUUUUUAUGUGGUGCUGAGAAUCAAACUCAAUGUCUCAUACACGAUAGGCAAUUGUUCUACCACUGAGGUACAACCCCAACCCCUCUAUUCUGUAAACUAUUAUAUAUGUUUAACAUUUGCCAUAAUAAAAUUUUUAUGGGAAAUGCCAAAAUAUUACUAGUUAAAGGAUUAGUAUACAGAUUGCAUAAAGAACUACUACAGUUUGGUGAAGCUUUGUGUGCAUGUCUAUAAUCCCAAUAACUCUACAGGUUGAGGCAAGAGAAUUACAAUUUCAAGGCCAGCGUGGGCAACUUACAGAGACCCUGUCUCAAAAAAUAGAAAGGGCUGUGAAAUAACUAAGGGGUAAACUGCCCCUGGGUUCUAUCCCUAUACUUAAGGGGGGAAAAAAGAGAGAAAGAAAAGAAAAAAAGAUAAUGCCCUCCUCCCCAUUGUCAUUUCAAACAGGCAAUUCACAGAGAAGAAAACGUGGAUACUGGGCUGGGUUUGUGGCAUAGUGAUAGAGCACUUGCCUAGCAUGUAUGAGGCACUGGGUUCAAUCCUCAGCACCAUAUAAAAAUAAAUCAAUAAAAUAAAGGUCCAUCAACAUCUCAAAAAAUAUUUUUUUAAUUUUAUAUUUUAAAAAAAACAUGUAUACCAAAUCACAAGGAAAAACUACAUCACACCCAGUAUCUCCAGAACACUUACACAUGGCUGAUAGAAGUAUAAGUUGAUAAUCAAUUUGGAAAACAACUUCACAUAAUCUAAUAAACUUGAAUGUACCUUUUCUAUGGCCCAGGAAAAAUUUGUACAGGAGAUAUGAGCAAGAGAAUUUAUAACAUUAUUGUAUAUAAUGGUAAAAAUUGUAAAAACUAUACCACCAUCCAUCAAUAUUAGAAUAAAUAUAUUGUAUAUACUUGUACGUAGAAAACAGCAGUAAAAGCGGUGAAUUGCAAGUCUGGACAUGGUUAAGUCUUGUUAACAAAAUGUUGAGUAAAAUGGGAAUUUAAAAAAAAAUUACAGUGUGAUACCACUUGUAUAAAUUUAAGAACCAAUGGAAGUAAACUGUCUUUAGGGUGUAAGCAUAAGACAUAAAUCUAUAAAAAACAAAAGAAUAAUAGUCAUAAAAUGCAAGAUAGUUAUUUUCUGUAGCUACAGAGAGAAGGAGGAAUAUGGAAGUGGCAUACAAAAUGCUUAAGAGUAUGGUGAUUAUACAUGUUGGUUUGACUAGACAGUCCAGGUUUGCCUGCCACCAUCCUAGUUUGCCUGUUUGCCUGAUAUUAUGGCUAAUAUCCCUUUCUUUGACUCUCAAAAUUGUCACAAUUUGAAUAUUGUAUGUUCAUCCUUUUUUCAAAUAACACUUUUCCCUCUUAAACUGUAUAGAGGGUGUAUGGGUCUUCAUUGUUUCAUUCUUCUGUUUAUCAUGCAUGUAUUUCAUAAUCAUUUGAAGCUAGUCAAUAUUUAAUAAUAUGAUUUUAACAAGUGGCAAUAGAGUUCAAAACAAAUCUGUGUGUAAAAUAAAUAUAAAUAGCUUCUGAUUGAAACUCUUAGAAUCUAGGUAGAUGUGGAGAUGAAUAACAUACUAAAGGUGCCUGGCAUUGUGUGAAGCUGUUUACAGAUAUCACAUCAAUUUCAUUGGAAGACUUUUAGGCAGGUAUGGUCUUCAUUUUACACAUGAAGAAUUUGAUUCCACAAAGAAUGUGUAUAACUUAGCCAAAAUCUUAGCAUAUGUGGCAGAGCAGAAUUUGAAUCCAAGCAACGUAAUACCAGACCACAUGCUCUUCACUUGCAAUGCCAGUCUAUAAUAGGUAUUCUUAACCUUUUUUGUGCCAUGGAUCUUUUUGGCAGUCUGCUGAAGCCUUCAGAACCUUUUUCAGAAUAAUGCUUUUAAAAUAUAAUGCAUAGGUUUAUAAGUGAAACCAAUCCUAUUAGAAUACACUAAUAAAAUAGUAAACAAAUGUGUACUUAUGCAUGUGCUUUUGUAACAAUGCAUUAAGUAAAAUCUAGCGGAGGGUCUAAUAUCUAUAAUUUUGGAGUACUGAGCACCAAUCAUGUCUUGAGAUAUUUGUAACUUUAGUACUAUGAUAGGAAAAUAUUUGAAGUUUGUAUAGAUGAAAAAGUCAUUGGUACUUCUAACAACACCAUGGUUUAAUAGCCUAUGUUCACAAUUGAGGGAAAUGUUAAAUUUCACUUAGAGGUUAGCAAAUAUUGGAUUGGGGUGUUGUUCUGUUGGUUGAGCACUUGCUUAACAUGCUUGAGGCCCUGGGUUUCAUCCUUAGCCACACACACACACACACACACACACACAGAGAGAGAGAGAGAGAGCUAGCAAAAAUUUAAGUGUAAUAUUUUUACCUACUUAAUAUAUGGUCUUCUGCUUUAAGAUCCUAAUUUGUAGACUUUCAGACAUUUUAACUUCAAUAAGGUCAUAUUCCCUAUCCCACCUCCUAUUUUUGGUUUGAGAUUACACUCAAAAUGUGUUAUGACAAAUAUAGUUUAAUAAAAAUAAUUAUUUUCCAUGUAGUAAACUUGUGUGGGGGAUGAGAAAUGGGAAUAGAAUAAUCAGAUGUACAUACUGUACACAAUAGGAAGCUUGGAGCUGCUCUAGAGUGUUUUAUGUAAGAGGUUUAAAACUAAUUCCAUACAUACUGCCACAUGUGAAUUCUUUCUAACAGAAUUCAUUAUUGAUACCACAAUGCUUUACUUAGUAUACGCUUUGUCAACACUUGUAGCAGUAUAGGAAUUAAAGAAAAUUCAAAUAGCUGGACACCUUUUUAAAGUUUUCAUUGGCUAAAAUAGAACAUCUGAAAAGUUUUUUUACUUGUGUUUCUCAUGAGUUAAUGUCCCAGCAGAGCAACUAGGUAACUUGAUUCUGACCAACAAGAAGGAAUUUCUUGGCUAAUUAAAAGUGACAGAAACCUUGGGAGAAAGUAAAAACAUACUAAGGGUAAUUGUAAGAAAGUAAAAUGGGCCCUAAAGGAUAGUGUUGAGAAACCUGAAGCCCCCAAAUAAGGUGAGACUUGUAAAAAAUAAAUAAAAACUAAGGACAUAUAAUGGACCUUCUAAAAUUCUCUUCAGAGCCAGAAGAUGAUCAGGGAAAAGGAAAGCCCACUUGCAGCUUUGGGUAUAAAUGAGAUCUAACCCAGAAAGCAACUAUUUUGCUUUGUUCUAUACAAAGGAAAUUUGAGAAGUAAGUUGAUAAAGUAAAAAGAACAUGUGUUUGUGUUUAGAUAAACCUGGUUUUAAUUGUUUCAAGACUGUUAAAUUUAUGGGAGGCCAUUGUUUUGAAUUGAGCUUCUGCACUAGGCCCUUGUAGACCACACCAAAAUGAAAUCACUCCCGCUGAAGUUCCAUAUCAUAAAACUAAAACUUAAGUUGUUUAUCUUACCUUCCAGGAAAUCAGGAUAAGAAAAUAGCCAAAUCCCCAAAUGGCUACUUUUAUCUCACAUAAUAAGGAAGUCCCCUUUGCUCUAACCAUAUUAGGAAAGUAAGUUUGAAAUGAUCAAUCUGUGUCUUGUUCCUGAUUUAUGCUUUCUUCAGCUUUUUUUUGUUUUUUUGCUAUAAAGCCCACCUCCACUCAGCCCAUUUUAUAGAAUGAAAUGUGACCUAAUUCUCACUAAUAAAAGCCAGUUAGAUCUUUUCGAUAAAUUUGUUGAGCAUUUGUCUUUUGGCAACACUUACUAGUUGCAUUACUCUGGAUCUCCUCUUCCCAUCUGUAAAAUGGAGAUAAUCAUCCUCAGGAUUGUUACAAGGAAUGGAAGUAACACAUUCAAAACACUGCAUUAAGCUUACUGUAGUAGAUAAAUAGCAACUUAUAAAAGAGUAGUAUAAAUAUUGACACAAAGCAAUACUAUUCCCAAAUGGAGGAAAAAUUUCUGAGAAUGCAUGACAGUUUGAAUUUAUAUUCUAUCAUUUGCUAUAAAUAGUUUACAUUUCGGCUUUGGAGGGAAAGUAGAAAUGAGUCCUGAGAACAUACAGGAUCCCAGAGCAGACAGAACCAGUUAGAACUCAUAUAAGUUAAAUUCAUUUGAUUUGCAAACAUAAGCAAAAUGAACUUGAGCUAGUUUUUAUAAAUUCAUAUAUUAAAGGAAAACAAAACGUAAGCUCAACCAAUUAGAAGUAGCCAACAAAUUUAUAUGACCAGGGACUUUCCAGUGGUAUAAUCAAAUAUGGCAACUAUUUAAUCAAUCAAGUCUUUGCUUUGCUUUGCUUCUCUGUCCUAUAAAAGCUUCCCACUUGUGUUCCCUCAGUGGUACUCCCAAACCACUUGGAGUUGUAUGAUUCAUGAAUUACUAUUUGCUCAAAUAAAAUCCUUAAAAUUU